GUCGAGUGAACUGAUUAGAAGCUUGCGUCUAUGACGUUAGUGGCGGAGGGGUGAGUAACACGUGGGCAACCUGCCUGUAAGACUGGGAUAACUCCGGGAAACCGGAGCUAAUACCGGAUAACAUUUUUUCUUGCAUAAGAGAAAAUUGAAAGAUGGUUUCGGCUAUCACUUACAGAUGGGCCCGCGGUGCAUUAGCUAGUUGGUGAGGUAACGGCUCACCAAGGCAACGAUGCAUAGCCGACCUGAGAGGGUGAUCGGCCACACUGGGACUGAGACACGGCCCAAACUCCUACGGGAGGCAGCACUAGGGAAUCUUCCGCAAUGGACGAAAGUCUGACGGAGCACCGCCGCGUGAGUGAUGAAGGCUUGGGGGGCGUAAAACUCUGUUGUUAGGGAAAAACAAGUACAAAAGUAACUGCUUGUACCUUGACGGUCCCUAACCAAAAACCCACGGCUAACUACGUGCCAGCAGCCGGGGUAAUCCGUAGGUGGGAAGGUUUUCGGAUUUUUGGGGUAAACCGCGCGCAGGGG
rnacentral:rRNA from 2 species